CAUUUAAUUAGUUAAAGAAAAAACAUUAAUUCCAGUUCAGAGAUUUAGUCCAUUAUUGUCAUGGCAGGAAGCAUGGUGGCACACAGAUAUGGUACUAGAGAGGCAGCUGAGAAUUUUAUAUCCACGCCAGCAGGCAGCAGGAAACAAGAGGGACGCUGGGCCUGGCUUGACCAUUUGAAACCUCAAAGCCCAUCCCCCAGUGACAUACUUCCUCGAACAAAGCCACCCUCCAGUAAUGCUACUCCCUAUGAGCCUAUGGUGGCUAUUUUUCUUCAGACCAAUACAGUUGGCUAAGCUGGUGAAACGCAAUCUUCCAUCUUUGGUGAGUUCCACUGCACUGAAUCAGCAUGAAGAAUGACUGCUUUACAGUGUGCCCCCAACACUGUGAGCCAGGAACCCAGAUUGCUAGCUCUAAGUCAACCAGUUGUUCAGUGAAUGUGGACUCCUCCAUAGGUAGAGUGCUGGAUAGGAAGGGAGAACCAGAGGAGACUUGCAGAGCCUCAGCCUCCAGAAGCUUAUAGCUUCAUCAAGGAUUUGGGGAUGUGCUAAGACAUAUCAGCCAGACAGAAGGACAAGCCCUAAGAGAAAGAGGUAAAAGUAUGUGUGUCCCCAAAUUCAUCUGCUGGAAAUUAUCUCCACCUCGCGGUCCACAGGUGACAGGUAGCAUCUUUAAGAGGUGACUGAGUUGGGAGGUGUUGCCCUUGUGAGUAGAUGACUGAUUUUACUUUCUUCACAGCCAGGAGUCCCCUCCCCCACAAACACAGCCCUCAGUCUUGAAUUGCCCAACUACCAGAACCAAGAGCUAAAAAUCUUUUAUGGUUUAUAAUUUACUUUGGGUUUAUAAUUUAAUGUUUGUGGUGUUAAUUGUAGCAACAGAAACUGAACUAAGGCCAGCUGUAGUGGUGCACGCCUUUAAUCUUAGUACUCAGGAGGUAGAGGCAGGCUGAUCUCUGAGGUUUUGGCCAGCCUGGUCUACAGAGGGAGUUCCCUGUUAGCCAGGGCGACACAGGGAAAUGCUGUCUCAAAAAACAAACAGAAAACUGAACUAAGACAGACAGAUACAAAUAUUUACACUAAGGAUAGCUAAUAUUUUAGGCUCCUCACAGUUGAGUUAUUAUUAAAAGACAGUCCCUACUAUAUAUUGGUGUUCUUCUAAGUUAUUUGCAUAUAUUUACAUUAUUUAAUCUCUCCAGAUCCCCAUGAGGUAGUCAUAGGUUUCCUUGCCUCUGGCUCUCAUAGACUCUCUGAUGGCUGCUUGGCCAACUGGAAUUCCCAAGUCUCCUUUCUGGCCAUUCUCACGUCUAGUGGGGGUUGAAGAUAAAAAAUGUUAAGUGUGCACACUGGGCACGCUUGACUGGUGCCCAGCUCUCGGUAAUAUGCUACCUCCUACUUGGGUUUAACUGAUGUCCCAACCCCGAGGCAGUUGACCUGGGGCUGCCAGUUGCCUUGCCUCACAUUGGCCAAGCUGGGGUCAUUCAGGGUAAAGCAGUGUCCUAGCCUGUGCUCUACUCAGCUUAUGAAGGAAGAGAAGAGAGCCCUCCCUCUGUGUGGGCUGGAUGGUUACAGAACCCCCGCCACUGUUUGCUGCCCCGAGAUGACCGAGGCGUGUGGUGACUGACACACGGGUGGAUGCAGAGGCACAGAAUCAGGACCACCAAACUGGAGGCCCCAUUGCUUCCAAGCCUCUCUACUCCAACAGUACCACCCUCUCUAAGUGUUCUAGGCAAUUACAGUUUUGAUACCUAGAUGAAUAUUUUUUUUUCCAACUCAAACCUUGUGAGCUUACAGGUAAAGCAAGACUGAAAACAUCACUGUAGACCAUUUAAGGGCUGCCCUGGUCUUCUAUCAUCUGUUCUGAAGCUAUCCAUCUCUGUUUACCUGUCCUGUGGAUAAGCGCCAGCUCGCCAGUGGAAGUGGAAGCCUGGACGGGCAACCCAAUAGAAUCCUGGACCCCACAGAGGAGCCAGUGCUGCAGCCUGAAGGACAGGACUUGGGUCCCACUAUGGUGAGAGUCUGCAUUCCCAGGUCAUACUUUCCGGGCUCCAUUCUCACUUGGCCUGCUCCUUCGUGUUAGUUAUUUGACCUUGAUAAUGAACUGAUGAUACUGAGGUAAGACCAUUCCUCUGAAUUGAAACUGCCCCCACCCCAAGGGAGGAGGGGGCUUCUAAAAUGCAGGAAACUGAGGACACUAUCCAGGCCCAGAACAUUCAAAAGACAAGACUUACAAGGCACCUACCAAAAGUUUUAUUUUUUUUUUUUGUUUUUUUCCUUUUGGUGUGUUUGUGUCUGUGUGUGUGUAUGUGUAUGUAUGUCUGUGUGUGUAUCUGUGUGUGUGUGUCUAUCUGGCACAUGACACAGUGUUCAUGUGGAAGUUAGAGGACGGCUUUUAGGAUUUGGAUUUCUCCUGCCAUGUGGGGUCUGGAGGUCAAAAUUGGAUCCUCGGGUUUAUCCCACAAGUGCUUUGGCACACCGAGCCAUCCCUCCAGUUCCAGAAGUUUUACAUAGGAACAAUAAACCAUUGCAGAAAGAGAAAAGGUUCUCCAGCAGAAGUGCCUACAAUCUGUGCAAGGAACUCUAGAGCUGCAGCUUUCUUGGGCUGUCACCCUGACUGGUGUAGGACUUAUGGCAAGGCAGCUGCCUGAGUCUCUCAUGUUCCUAUAAAUACCCAUGCUCCCGUAUGCAAGCCCAAUAAACUCACUGGCUUAUC
ensembl:sense_intronic Gm42868 predicted gene 42868